ensembl:lncRNA
CUUGUAUCAGAAAUAGUGUGACCAGAAGGAAGAGGGAAGUAAUUAUCCCCCUGUACUCAGCACUGGUGAGGCCACACCUGGAGUACUGUGUCCAGUUUGGGGCCCCUCACUGUAAGAAAGACAUCAAGGCCCUGGAGCGUGUCCAGAGGAGGGCAACAAAGCUGGUGAGGGGUCUGGAGCACAGGCCUUAUGAAGAGUGGAUGAAGGAGCUGGGACUGUUCAGUCUAGAGAAGAGGAGGCUCAAGGGAGACCUUAUUGCUCUCUAUAACUACCUGAAAGGAGGUUGUAGUGAGCUGGGGGUCAGCCUCUUCUCUCGUGUGACUAGUGAUAGGACUAGAGGGAAUGGCUUCAAGCUGCGCCAGGGAAGAUUCAGGCUGGACGUUAGGAAAUACUACUUGUCUGAAAGGGUGGUCAGGCACUGGAAUGGGCUGCCCAGAGAGGUGGUGGAGUCACCGACCCUGGAGGUGUUCAAGGAGCGUUUGGAUGUUGUGUUGAGGGACGUGGUUUAGUGAGAACUAUUGGCGACGGGUGGAUGGUUGGACUGCGUGAUCUUGUGAGUCUUUUCCAACCUUGGUGAUUCUAUGAUUCUGUGAUUUCUGAAGUGCCUGGUUAUCCA